rnacentral:rRNA from 1 species
GUAGGUGGCAAGCGUUGUCCGGAAUUAUUGGGCGUAAAGCGCGCGCAGGCGGUUCUUUAAGUCUGAUGUGAAAGCCCACGGCUCAACCGUGGAGGGUCAUUGGAAACUGGAGAACUUGAGUACAGAAGAGGAAAGCGGAAUUCCACGUGUAGCGGUGAAAUGCGUAGAGAUGUGGAGGAACACCAGUGGCGAAGGCGGCUUUCUGGUCUGUAACUGACGCUGAGGCGCGAAAGCGUGGGGGGGAGCAAACAGGAUUAGAUACCCUGGUAGUCCACGCCGUAAACGAUGAGUGCUAAGUGUUAGGGGGUUUCCGCCCCCCCCCUUAGUGCUGCAGCUAACGCAUUAAGCACUCCGCCCUGGGAGUACGGCCGCAAGGCUG